UACGAAGGGUGCAAACGUUGCUCGGAAUCAUUGGGCGUAAAGCGCACGUAGGCGGCUUGCCAAGUCGGACGUGAAAUCCCUCAGCUCAACUGAGGACGUGCAUCCGAAACUGGCGAGCUUGAGUGCUGAAGAGGAUCGCGGAAUUCCCGGUGUAGAGGUGAAAUGCGUAGAGAUCGGGAAGAACACCGGUGGCGAAAGCGCUCUGCUGGGCCGCAACUGACACUCAGGGACGAAAGCUAGGGGAGCGAAUGGG
rnacentral:rRNA from 1 species